CCCUUAUCAAGUAGUGGAGUUUUUGUCGCCUCCUCCCCUUAAACCUGGGUAGGCCUUUGUGACACCUAAACUUAUAGAGUAGAAUGGAGAAUAAUUCUAUGAUUCUGAAGUUAGGUCAUAAAGGAUGGAACAGCUUCCACCUGACUUUUUCUCUUAAAAUAAUCUCCCUUGAAACACAGCCACCAUGGUGGGAGGAAGACUAAGCCAUAAGGAGAGGCACACAAGGAGGGGAAUUGAGGUCCCAGCCACAACCAAGCUCCCUGCCAACAGCCAGCAUCAACUUUCUAGUCACACAAGUGAGCCAUCUUGGAAGCAAAUACUCCAGUCCUGAAUCAAGACACCUCAGCUAAUGGUGCGUGGAAGAGAUGUGCCUCUUCCACUGAUGCCAGUCCAAAUUGCAGAUUCAUGAACAACAAUGUUGACUAAAAUAGCUACAGAAGCUGACAUUCAGACAUCAUACAACAAAACGGGCAGCAACCUCGUGCAGCCUCCCCAGUGAAAGAGGACGGGAAGUCAUUGUGCCCACCAGGCCAAUAAGGUCAAAUUGUAUGUAGGAGGUGACUUCCAGCUAUGGACACAAAGGUACUGGAAAAUGAGUCCAGCAAAGAAUAAAAGGGUACAGAUAGCUCCCAUCGAAUGGAUUCCCUGGCUAUAAGCAUUCCUUAUACCUUUAAAAGGAAGAAAAGUCUAAAAAUCAAACUUUACUGAUUGGGCAUGGCGUGUUUUGAUGUGCAGUGGAUGUGUUCGAAUCCGUAAGACAUCUUGCUCAGACAUAGGAACAGAGGAAAAUCAGAAUCAAGCUAGGAAAAAGGACCAGAUGCUCUCUCCAAAGCGUAAAAAAAAUAAGACCAUGUGCCUUAAAGGAAUAGAAAUCUGAGGUCACGGGGACGUGUUAAAGAGUUGCAGCCUGCUGUUGGAGGAUGUUUGCUUACUAAGAAGGGAGUAAUAGUGGAUUUAUUAGCAGAGAUUAAAACGGGGACAAAAAAAAAUGAUAGCUAAAAGAUACUUAAGGUCUACAGAAAGACUAACUGGAUGGUUUAAACGUAUUCUUGAUGUCAAAGCUUGCAAAGUACAGUUUCUCUCUUCUUUGGAAUAAACCAAUACACCAAAUGGUACUAAACACAUUUAAAAUAUAAUUCCAUAAAUACACCUUGGAUUUGUAUUCAAACACUGACUCAGCUCUUACAAAGUGAAGCAACACCUGCUCUACUCCUGGUUAAUCACUUGGAAACAGCACUCCCCGUAAGGGAAGCCUGUCAGUUCUUCAGACAAAUAUGAUGGGGGAAAAUUACAUCUUAAUGAGACAGAGCUAAUUGGUUUUAUAGUAUAGCUUAUGUGCCAGUUAUCGAUUUAUUGAUUCUCAGCUCCAAAUGCACCUUUAACUAUAUACUCUGUGAUAAACAAGGGACUUCCUGGAAACCUUUUCCUUAAAAGUGAGCGCAAUGAGAAGCCUUCUCAGUAGAGGGAACUGGAAAGACAUCACAAGAAGAAGCUUUCCAAAAUUUCCUGCAUAGACCAGGGAGUCAGCCUUGUGGGUGUGAAAACAUCCUCCGAAGCCUGUCCCAGCCACUGGCCUAGAGCAUGGUCCCUCUGUAACUUUGCAUGCUAUGACUAGCAAUAACUUUUACUCAGUCCUACAGACAUGGAAAACAGACCUCCCCACCCCACCCCCAGCCCCCCAACACACACACAGCCUUUGCUCUGAAGACCUCCUGCCCUCCCAGUACCAGGAAGCCCUCAUGCGAUCUGCCAGCAGUGCCUGUGGCCUGGAAGCUUGGUCACACACUAAGCAGUUCUUCGAGCCCCCACGCUUGUGCAAACCCGCAUGCUCUAGAGGCCUCCUACUCUGGCUGGCACCACACUCGCUGCACACCCACAUCACCAGUUGCUGACCACCUGCUCCGCUCUCCCUGGCUCAUUCGUUGCCCAGGAACUCCAGACCAGCCCAGUCCUGGCCAAACCAGUAAACAACUCUGCUGUCCAGUGGGCUGAACAACACCUCCUCCAACAAGGUCUAAAUCUCUUCCAAGUGGUCCUUCCUUGGUUCCUCCCCCUCAACCCUAGGGUAACAUAUAGAGUUUCCCUAUAUUAUAUAGUUCCUCUCUUAUCAUAUCUUAUCAUAAUUAUCAAAUUAAUCAUUCUUUAUAUUAACUUCACUUGCUUAACUUGUUAUGUGGUUUCUGUCUCCUGAUUGUACCCAGACUAUUGCAGUUUGAGAAACAAGAAAAAAGAAAACAAAACCUAAAAUCAGGAAAUAUGCAUUAAUUUGUUAACUACUAUAUGCCAGACAAUAUUAGACAACUUAAACCUUUUAUAUCAUUUAAUCCUCAGGAGAAUUCCACAGUGUUAAAUAUUUGAAGUUCAAGAAGAUUAAAUAACUUGUCCAUGUUUGUAUAGCUUAGUAAGGGACAAAAAACGAUUCAAACCCUUGUCCAUCUUGACACAAAUAGUUUUAACUUAUGAAUUUAAAUAUUUAUGAAGUUAUUCGUUUAUAGUUAUGAAGUAGUGUAUUUAUACUCUGUGUAUCUAUCUAUCUAAAUAAUGUCUGCCCUACAGAGAAAGACUUGAGUUGAGAAAAGAGAAAGUUUGGGAGUAAAAUUAGCAAGUCUUGAUGGUCUUAGAUGGAGUAGUGAGAUAUUGAUAGGGUAUGGGAAGUGGAACUGAUUGUAAACACUCCUUAAAACUUGGAUGACUUUGGACUCUCGUUGGAUCACUACAGGAUUUUUCAGCAAAGGCAUGAGAAAAAAGCAGGAAUUAGAGUAAAUUAGUCACGACAGAAAAAACAGGAUUUCGAGCAAAUUAGUUGUGAAAUGAUGGGUGUGGAAAAUGGAUUUGUAGGGAAAGAGUCAGAAUUAGAGGAUAAAUCAAGGUUGAUAUGCUGAGGGUCCAGAUAGAGUGGCAGCAAUGGAAAGCCAGGGACUCCAUAGGAUAGCUUCAUCUGAAAGGGGACAUCACUAGGAUUGGGCAUCAGACUGAGAAAGAGGGAUGAACAAAAGACAAAUCUGAGUAUUGGGAACACGUUUAGAAGAAUCUCUUGGAAAUCUUUCACAAGGGACAUGAGACCCUUGGAAGCAUCAUGAAACAAUCAUUUUCUUGGUUUGGGAAACAUAAAUGGUUAACAAUAAGAUAAAGUCUUAUCAACUGUUCAUAAGCCAAAUAUACCAAGGUAAGGGAAGAUUGUCGAUAUCUCUGUGCGUCCAUUGUUUUUCCUACAAGUAAAACAGUAGAAGGGCUGGUAAGGUUCUCCUCUCUUCAGCACAGCUGCAGAUGAGCAGUGUCCACAGACACCUGCCUGCAAGGCUCCAGGAACGCUUUGGUCAUAAACUCCCACUGCCUGGCAAUGUCAGCUCUAAAAUCCAGAACUGUUUAGACAACUGAAGAAUUCAGUCUAGUACUCCUGUAUUACUUGGCAUUGCACUUUAUAGAGAAUUGAGAGAGAAUAAAACCCUUUGAUCUGCCUCUUCUCUUGGUCUUCUUCAACGUUUGUUUGAUUGCCAUCAUAAGUAAUCAAAGUACUACUUUGACCAGAGAGAAGAAACAACCACAAAUUUGGUCUUUUCUACAACAAGAACCCGGUGCCACAGAAAAUAACAGAAGCGAGGAGAUGACUUUCCUGACAGACAUGUUCAAUUUUGGAUAUGCUAAGCAUGUUACAAUUUUAGGGAAAAUAACCGGCAAGCAGAGGGAAAAACAGAACUCAAGCUCAGGAAAUAGUCCCCUUGCUUGCAGAAUACCUGGACGUCGUAGGAACAUAAGCUGGCUGGCAGAAAGACAAGGCAGGCAGCUUUGAUUUAUCCCAGGAAGUUAGAAAACCUCUCUUCAAUGAAGGAGGUGAAAGCCAUAAUGAUUCUUCAUAAUGAACCCUGAUGACGAGGAGCAAGCAAUGAGCCACUUUUUAUGGCAGUUAAUGAUUCGAGCAGAAUGAAAGAAGAAGACUGCACUGGUCACUUGCUCCUCUGAUUCAAACAUAAAAACACAACACAGUGAAAAAGCAUAUUGUUUCCCUGAACUUCAGAGGAAAAACUGAAAACGUUUUUCAAAGUAAAUGAAUUAAUCUCCGUUCCAAACCCAGUAACUAGUCUUAUUCUUUUGUUUUUGUCCUGAUCUGCCUUCCUUACAUAGAAGUUAUGUAGCACACGUUGUUUUCUUUUUAUAUCG
ensembl:lncRNA